GAUGAAGAACGUAGCGAAAUGCGAUAAGUAAUGUGAAUUGCAGAAUUCAGUGAAUCAUCGAAUCUUUGAACGCACAUUGCGCCCGGCAGUACUCUGCCGGGCAUGCCUGUUCGAGCGUCAUUUCAACCCUCAAGCCCUGCUUGGUGUUGGGGCCCCACGGCUGCCGUGGGCCCUGAAAGGAAGUGGCGGGCUCGCUACAACUCCGAGCGUAGUAAUUCAUUAUCUCGCUUAGGGCGUUGGGCGGCGCUCCAGCCGUUAAAGAACCAUCUAUAACUCAAGGUUGACCUCGGAUCAGGUAGGAAUACCCGCUGAACUUAAGCAUAUCAAUAAGCGGAGGA
rnacentral:misc_RNA from 1 species